rnacentral:rRNA from 1 species
UACGUAGGGUCCGAGCGUUGUCCGGAAUUAUUGGGCGUAAAGGGCUCGUAGGCGGUCUGUUGCGUCGGGAGUGAAAUCUUACAGCUUAACUGUGAACUUGCUUUCGAUACGGGCAGACUUGAGGCAUUCAGGGGAGAACGGAAUUCCUGGUGUAGCGGUGAAAUGCGCAGAUAUCAGGAGGAACACCGGUGGUCGAAGGCGGGUCUCUGGGCCGAUACUGACGCUGAGGAGCGAAAGCGUGGGGAGCGAACAGG